rnacentral:rRNA from 1 species
CACGUAGGGGGCGAGCGUUGUCCGGAUUUAUUGGGCGUAAAGGGCUCGUAGGCGGCUCAGUAAGUCGGGUGUGAAACCUCCAGGCUCAACCUGGAGACGCCACCUGAUACUGCUGUGGCUAGAGUCCGGUAGGGGAGCAUGGAAUUCCUGGUGUAGCGGUGAAAUGCGUAGAUAUCUGGAGGAACACCGGUGGCGAAGGCGGCAUCCUGGACCAACACUGACACUGAGGAGCGAAAGCCAGGGGAGCAAACGGG